AUUGAACGCUGGCGGCAUGCUUUACACAUGCAAGUCGAACGGCAGCGCGGGCUUCGGCCAGGCGGCGAGUGGCGAACGGGUGAGUAAUACAUCGGAACGUGCCCAGUAGUGGGGGAUAGCUCGGCGAAAGCCGGAUUAAUACCGCAUACGACCUGAGGGUGAAAGCGGGGGAUCUUCGGACCUCGCGCUAUUGGAGCGGCCGAUGGCAGAUUAGCUAGUUGGUGGGGUAAAGGCCUACCAAGGCGACGAUCUGUAGCUGGUCUGAGAGGACGACCAGCCACACUGGGACUGAGACACGGCCCAGACUCCUACGGGAGGCAGCAGUGGGGAAUUUUGGACAAUGGGCGAAAGCCUGAUCCAGCAAUGCCGCGUGUGUGAUGAAGGCCUUCGGGUUGUAAAGCACUUUUGGCGGGAACGAAAAGGACUGUGCCAAUACCACGGUUCGAUGACGGUACCCGCAGAAUAAGCACCGGCUAACUACGUG
rnacentral:rRNA from 1 species